rnacentral:misc_RNA from 1 species
GUGGGAGGGGGCUUGCUCCCGAUGGCAGUGGCUCAGUCAGCUGAUCUGUAACUGAUCCACCGUCAUCGGGAGCAAGCCCCCUCCCAC